GUCUGGGAUAGGUCAGUUGGUAGAGCAUAAGACUCUUAAUCUCAAGGUUGUGGGUUCAAGUCCCAUGUUGGGCA
rnacentral:tRNA from 1 species